rnacentral:rRNA from 2 species
GAGUUUGAUCAUGGCUCAGAUUGAACGCUGGCGGCAGGCCUAACACAUGCAAGUCGAGCGGUAGCACAGAGAGCUUGCUCUCGGGUGACGAGCGGCGGACGGGUGAGUAAUGUCUGGGAAACUGCCUGAUGGAGGGGGAUAACUACUGGAAACGGUAGCUAAUACCGCAUAACGUCGCAAGACCAAAGUGGGGGACCUUCGGGCCUCAUGCCAUCAGAUGUGCCCAGAUGGGAUUAGCUAGUAGGUGGGGUAACGGCUCACCUAGGCGACGAUCCCUAGCUGGUCUGAGAGGAUGACCAGCCACACUGGAACUGAGACACGGUCCAGACUCCUACGGGAGGCAGCAGUGGGGAAUAUUGCACAAUGGGCGCAAGCCUGAUGCAGCCAUGCCGCGUGUGUGAAGAAGGCCUUCGGGUUGUAAAGCACUUUCAGCGGGGAGGAAGGCGGUGAGGUUAAUAACCUCAUCGAUUGACGUUACCCGCAGAAGAAGCACCGGCUAACUCCGUGCCAGCAGCCGCGGUAAUACGGAGGGUGCAAGCGUUAAUCGGAAUUACUGGGCGUAAAGCGCACGCAGGCGGUCUGUCAAGUCGGAUGUGAAAUCCCCGGGCUUAACCUGGGAACUGCAUUCGAAACUGGCAGGCUAGAGUCUUGUAGAGGGGGGUAGAAUUCCAGGUGUAGCGGUGAAAUGCGUAGAGAUCUGGAGGAAUACCGGUGGCGAAGGCGGCCCCCUGGACAAAGACUGACGCUCAGGUGCGAAAGCGUGGGGAGCAAACAGGAUUAGAUACCCUGGUAGUCCACGCCGUAAACGAUGUCGAUUUGGAGGUUGUGCCCUUGAGGCGUGGCUUCCGGAGCUAACGCGUUAAAUCGACCGCCUGGGGAGUACGGCCGCAAGGUUAAAACUCAAAUGAAUUGACGGGGGCCCGCACAAGCGGUGGAGCAUGUGGUUUAAUUCGAUGCAACGCGAAGAACCUUACCUGGUCUUGACAUCCACAGAACUUUCCAGAGAUGGAUUGGUGCCUUCGGGAACUGUGAGACAGGUGCUGCAUGGCUGUCGUCAGCUCGUGUUGUGAAAUGUUGGGUUAAGUCCCGCAACGAGCGCAACCCUUAUCCUUUGUUGCCAGCGGUCCGGCCGGGAACUCAAAGGAGACUGCCAGUGAUAAACUGGAGGAAGGUGGGGAUGACGUCAAGUCAUCAUGGCCCUUACGACCAGGGCUACACACGUGCUACAAUGGCAUAUACAAAGAGAAGCGACCUCGCGAGAGCAAGCGGACCUCAUAAAGUAUGUCGUAGUCCGGAUUGGAGUCUGCAACUCGACUCCAUGAAGUCGGAAUCGCUAGUAAUCGUAGAUCAGAAUGCUACGGUGAAUACGUUCCCGGGCCUUGUACACACCGCCCGUCACACCAUGGGAGUGGGUUGCAAAAGAAGUAGGUAGCUUAACCUUCGGGAGGGCGCUUACCACUUUGUGAUUCAUGACUGGGGUGAAGUCGUAACAAGGUAACCGUAGGGGAACCUGCGGUUGGAUCACC